ACCGUUUGUUGAUAACAAAAAUGAAAUUAAGGAUGAAUUUUUGAGAGAAAAAAUGAUUUGCGAACAAUUAGUCACAAAAUCUAUUGUUAAAAAAAGAAAAAAAAUUCAAUAAGAUUAAUUUUUUAAUCCGUCCAUUGUAACGACAGUGAUUUGUUGUCUACAAAAGAUCAUAUAGUGAUGAAAAAUCAUUCAUUCCUGAAUAGCAACAUAACUUUUCCUUAAGCUAAAUUUGGGUGUUAGCAUACCAAUCAACCAUUUGCCGUAUCGGAUCGUGCGGUUGGUCCAGUUAAUACUUUUAUCUUUGUUUAGUGGAGAUUAAAUCAAAUUUUUGACAAAUCUUGAUAAGAUUGAUGAAGUGUGUGAUUGAAAAGUUGUAAAUUCCCUAAAAUAUGUAAUUAAAACUAAUUGUUAUUUUAACUUGAAUUAAAAUCUACAUUUCAACUUUACCCAAUAGGAGCUUAAAAGAAUCAACACAUGCCCCGCUUUUAAUCUUAUUAUUGCUAAUAUUCGCCUACUUAAAAAGAAGAAUAAAUCUCCCUGUCCCGGGUUGGGGACAGGGUUAACUAUUGGAGGGGUGUCGACCAGGGGCAGACGCCCCUCUCAUAGGGGGGCGUCAUGUGUUUUUAACCUUGUCCCGGGUUCGGGACAGGGAGCAUCACUGUAAAAAGAAUACUUCAUGAAAAAUAUCUAUCACCUCAUUUCAAUAGUUGGUUUUAGAUUUCAAUAUUUGUAUGUCUAAUUUCAAAUCUGAAACUGGAUUCAUCAUCACAGCCUUCUCCACACAACCACAUAGAUUUCAAAUUUGGUUUCACAUCUGAAUCUGCCCUCAUCUUUUAGAAAAACUUACCUUGAAGUCGAAUUGUUUAGGAAAUUGGUGAGCUAAACCUGAAACACAAAUUAACCCUGUAACUGAAAACUCUUAAUUGGUGGUGUGCCUGCCAAAAAGAUCAUUUUUAAACUUGGACCCAUUUCUCUUCCAAUAACAAUUUAGUCCUUGUUUGAUUUACCUAAAAAUCAGUUUUUAAUGUAUAUGUGACGUAAUAAGUAGAAAUACCUGUCAAGUUGGGGGGAUUAUUCUAAAUGGCCUAUCACUAUUCAUUCUUGCCAAAAUGUCUAUAAUACUCUUAAUGAAAUCGCCUAUCAUAUUUUGCACAAAAUAUCCCAAUUUAUUGGAAUAGUUCCAAAAUUCUUCUAUUUCUCUCAUUUCGAAUUUUAAUAUAUAGUUCCAUCCUUUGAUCUAAUAAAUUAGCAUAAUCUGUAAUAUAAUUGUUAUGUAAUUCUUUAAGAUUAUCAUAUUCCUUAGAUGAUAUAUCCAUAAUCUCUAGUUGAGAAAAAAUAUUUUUUAUGUUUUCUAAUAGUAUUUCUAACAGAUUAUCUAAUUCUUUACUUGUAUAGCCUGACAUCAUUUAGAUAAUUCCUUACAAGCUUUAUGAAUAAUAAUAACAUGAUAUAUAAGUUUUUUGCAAACAUGAAAAGUAAUAAUCCCUACGAUUCUUUCAAGAUAUUAGAAGAAUUCUUUCUAAAUUUAACAAAGACAAUAAUUUUACCUUACUUUUGAUUUUAAAUCUGUAUUCUUAGAAUCGAGUGACUUUCAAGCUCUGAAUCUGGAAACUGCUCCCUCAAACGGCCUUUUGCCUCAAUGGGAUUUCUUAGAAUUAAGAAUAAGGAUAUUAAGUAAAGAAAAUUCACUUUUUGUUAAAGUAAGAAAGAAAUUAUCUUUUUCAAUCUGUCAAGAAUCUAUGAGAUAGGAAGUUCAGAAACUCAUAUUUUUCUGAUAUCAAAAGAUUGAAAUUUUAUUUAUAUAGUGAUUUAUACAAGGUUUCUAUUGUAUACAAGGGGUUUCCAGAAAAACUGGUUUUAAACAAAGUUUAAGGAAAGAGAAUGGUUUC
rnacentral:lncRNA from 1 species